rnacentral:tRNA from 6 species
GGGGUCGUGGUUUAGGGGUAUAAUGUCCGCUUCGCAUUGUCACAUCAAUCCUUGCGGAAGGUCCCGCGUUCGAUUCGCGGCGAUUCCA